CCUACGGGUGGCAGCAGUAGGGAAUAUUGCUCAAUGGGGGAAACCCUGAAGCAGCAACGCCGCGUGGAGGAUGAAUGUUUUAGGAUUUUAAACUCCUUUUGUUAGAGAAGAUUAUGACGGUAUCUAACGAAUAAGCACCGGCUAACUCCGUGCCAGCAGCCGCGGUAAUACGGAGGGUGCAAGCGUUACUCGGAUUGACUGGGCGUAAAGAGUGCGUAGGGGGGGUAAUAAGUCAGAUGUGAAAUCCUGUAGCUUAACUAAAGAAUUGCAUUUGAAACUGUUACUCUGGAGUGUGGGAGAGGUAGGUGGAAUUCGUGGUGUAGGGGUAAAAUACGUAGAGAUCAAGAGGAAUACUGAGUGCGAAGGCGACCUGCUGGAACAUUACUGACGCUGAUGCACGAAAGCGUGGGGAGCAAACAGGAUUAGAUACCCUUGUAGUC
rnacentral:rRNA from 1 species